AAAAAGACAAACCAUAAGUUUCCGUGUCCAAUGUUUAACUAUCCAUCUUAUAUAAAUUUUUUUUAUAAUUAGCAUUUUCAUUAUUGUUAGAUGAUAAAACAUGAUUAAUACUUUAUACGUAACUUAUCUUUUUAUUUUUUUAAUUUUUUUAAAUAAGACGAACAAUCAAACUUAGACACAGAAACCUAUGGUUUGUCUUUCU
rfam:Oryza sativa (indica cultivar-group) chromosome 9, whole genome shotgun sequence.